GUGGGGAAUAUUGGACAAUGGGCGAAAGCCUGAUCCAGCAAUGCCGCGUGAGUGAUGAAGGCCCUAGGGUUGUAAAGCUCUUUUACCAGGGAUGAUAAUGACAGUACCUGGAGAAUAAGCUCCGGCUAACUCCGUGCCAGCAGCCGCGGUAAUACGGAGGGAGCUAGCGUUGUUCGGAAUUACUGGGCGUAAAGCGCGCGUAGGCGGUUUUUUAAGUCAGAGGUGAAAGCCCGGGGCUCAACCCCGGAAUUGCCUUUGAAACUGGAAAACUUGAAUCUUGGAGAGGUCAGUGGAAUUCCGAGUGUAGAGGUGAAAUUCGUAGAUAUUCGGAAGAACACCAGUGGCGAAGGCGACUGACUGGACAAGUAUUGACGCUGAGGUGCGAAAGCGUGGGGAGCAAACAGGAUUAGAAACCCCGGUAGUCC
rnacentral:rRNA from 1 species